GUUGUCUAUGGUUGAGGUAUCAAAGCCUGGCGCCAUUGACAUGCGCUGAUUCGCAGUCUGUUUGGUGCUGUUUGUCGUUUUGAUAGCGACGAAGGCAAAGGUUCAAAAGUUCCUAGUCGAAUUAGUCGGUUCGCCAUCGUUAACGCCUCCCUGCCAACAUCACCCAGUAACAACGUGAUCUGUUCAUCGGUUCGUUCAGCCUAUCGUGCCAAGGGAUUGCCCGACCGAGACGUGCCACAAUCCCAACUACCCAUUGCAGCAGAGAGAGCUGUAAUUUUUAAUAUUCUACUUCUGGCGAGUUGGAGCGAGGUCCAGACAUGCUAAAGACCGCAUAUCUGGUUGCAAUACAAAGAGCUUGGAAAUUGUGCAGGAUAAAAACAUUCUAUUAACAAGUUAGAAAUCUGUUCGGAAGCCUGGCUUAAGGUAGUGCUCCUUCUACCUGUGAAAUUGAUACCAGCUCCCAUCAGCGAUUUAAGUACUUAUUGAGCGGAAAUCGGUAUAAGGCACAUCCUUCUUAAGUUGCGUGAGUGAAUGCCUUUCGACGUUGCCCCUCUUCUCGUCUUGCUAUUCUUGGCCGUGCACGUCAUCUCACUAUUGGAAGUGUCCCCGAUCUUGGCUGGCUAUAUUUUUUGAAGUGGAAAUCUUUCAUUAUUUUCCUUCAUCAUACACACAAAGUAAUGAUUUCAUUGACUUUCUGAUGAAGUUGCAAAAUUUUUGUUGAGAUAACUAAUUUCAUUUCGUAAGUAACUUAGAAGUCAACUUAAGUGUGUGCGUGCCAAUCGUCGGAAAUUUACAGUUACUAUUUCUGAUUCCGCAAACCAGUUAUCUUUGAUAUUGAGAUUGGACAUCGAUCAAAGCAAGGAAAACCAUGGAGUGGACACACAUUUACCAUUUUCACACUCUUUGGAAUUAAUGGGUAUAUAGUGUUUUCGCGGUAAGUUAAUCAUGCAGUCGACCAUUUCCGCAGAACUUGUUUCCUCAUUGCAAACAUCGAGCUGGUAAGACCUUAUCCGACAUCGAAGUGGUUUUGAGUGGAGUAUUUCUCAAAGCUCACAUCAGCAAGAAAUUUAUAUGCGGUGGGUAUAAGAUAAUGCGAGUUUUCCUUCUUGAUGUUUCGAUUCUGCUUGGAGUACGUUCAUAGUUGAUUUUUAUAGAACGCAAAAAAUUAAAACUUUGCCCAAGAACAUGUUAUUUUAUGUUUUUCAGCA